GGAGGGAUGGCCGAGUGGCUUAUGGCGGCGCCCUGCUAAGGCGUUGGUGGCAACACCGCGUGGGUUCGAAUCCCACUCCCUCCG
rnacentral:tRNA from 2 species